UGUCUACAUAGUUUAACCAAAACACUAGACUGUGAACCUAGAGACAGAAAAUAUUCUUGUAGACC
rnacentral:tRNA from 1 species